GACCAGUGCCAGGGCUCAGAUGUGUCAGAGCUGAAUCCCCUCCACGAGUCCCCACUCUCUCAUGUACACCCCCUGCCAUGAGGAACUCAUUACCUCCUGAGGCCACUGUAUAGAGAACUAAGAUCUGCCUCACUGAGAUACACUUUGGGCUGAGGGGCCUAUCAGCUCUCUGGCCCUAAGAUAUCCAAGGAGUGGCCACAGCAGUGGAGCUGCAUCAAGGGCCUCCGGGGGGACAGUGGCCUCCCAGAGGUCAGGGGCAGCCUCGGAGCCUGUCCAGCUCCCUCACAGGUUAAGGUAGCUCUAAACCAAACACUAGGCAGGAGUCAUAGAUCUGCCUACUUCCCUUGAAACAAGGCAUAUGGAUUUCCUGCAGCUGCUGUAACAAAGCACCACCACAAACUGGGGGACUGGAGUCACAGACAUUUGUUUUCUCAAGCUCUGGGGGCUGGAGGUCUGAGAUCAAGUUGUCCAAAAGGCUAGGUCCCUCCAAGGGCUCUGAGCAAGAACCCAUUCCGGGCCUCUCUCCUGGUUUCCAGAGCUUUGCAGGCAAUCCUUGGUGCUCUUUGGCUUGUAGAAGCAUCACUCCCAUCUCAGCCUUCCUGCCCAUGUGGAAUUCUGCCUGUGUGUGUCUGUGUCCAAAUUUCCCCAUUUUACAGGGACCCCAUCACAUUGGAUUGGAGGCCCACCCCGCUCCAGAAUGGCCUCAGCUUAGUGAAUUGUAGCUGCAAAGACCUUAUUUCCAAACCAGAUCACAUUCUGAGACAGUGGGGGUUGGGACUUCAACAUACGAAUUGGGAUGACACAGUUCAACCCACAACAGACCAUGAGGAAGGUGUCACUGUGAAGGUGAG
rnacentral:lncRNA from 1 species